GGAGGAAUGGCAGAGCUUGGUUGAAUGCACCUGACUCGAAAUCAGGAAUACGAGCAAUCGUAUCGGGGGUUCGAAUCCCUCUUCCUCCGCCA
rnacentral:tRNA from 1 species